GCAUCACCUGGAGCUUGCUAGGCUGGGUCUCAACUCACCACAAACAUCCUACAUCAGAAUCUGGAUCUUUCCUGCCUCCCCAGACAGCUGUUCCCGGGGAGUACCUGAGCUAUGCCUCGUCCAAGCUGUUAGGCGUCAACAUUCGUCAAGCCUUUCGGUUCAGCUGUGUCAAAGCUUCCAGUCAGCAGUUCUCCGGGCCACCUGUUACCACAAGCUACAUCAGGACCCUCCCAAACAAUCCUUUCCUCAGCCUCUGUCCUCCCCCUUCACCCCUAGUUGAAGCCCAUGGCAAUUGGAAGCAACAAAAAAAACGACUUGUUCA
rnacentral:lncRNA from 1 species